rnacentral:rRNA from 1 species
GUCUACGGCCAUACUACCCUGAACACGCCCGAUCCCGUCUGAUCUCGGAAGCUAAGCAGGGUCAGGCUUGGUUAGUACUUGGAUGGGAGACCGCCUGGGAAUACCGGGUGCCGUAGGCA